CAGCAGCCGCGGUAAUACGGAGGGUGCAAGCGUUAAUCGGAAUUACUGGGCGUAAAGCGCACGCAGGCGGUCUGUCAAGUCGGAUGUGAAAUCCCCGGGCUCAACCUGGGAACUGCAUUCGAAACUGGCAGGCUAGAGUCUUGUAGAGGGGGGUAGAAUUCCAGGUGUAGCGGUGAAAUGCGUAGAGAUCUGGAGGAAUACCGGUGGCGAAGGCGGCCCCCUGGACAAAGACUGACGCUCAGGUGCGAAAGCGUGGGGAGCAAACAGGAUUAGAUACCCCUGUAGUCCCUGUCUCUUAUAA
rnacentral:rRNA from 1 species